rnacentral:rRNA from 1 species
UACGGAAGGCAGCAGUGGGGAAUAUUGCACAAUGGGCGCAAGCCUGAUGCAGCCAUGCCGCGUGUGUGAAGAAGGCCUUCGGGUUGUAAAGCACUUUCAGCGAGGAGGAAGGCGUUAAGGUUAAUAACCUUAGCGAUUGACGUUACUCGCAGAAGAAGCACCGGCUAACUCCGUGCCAGCAGCCGCGGUAAUACGGAGGGUGCAAGCGUUAAUCGGAAUUACUGGGCGUAAAGCGCACGCAGGCGGUUUGUUAAGUCAGAUGUGAAAUCCCCGAGCUUAACUUGGGAACUGCAUUUUGAAACUGGCAAGCUAGAGUCUUGUAGAGGGGGUAGAAUUCCAGGUGUAGCGGUGAAAUGCGUAGAGAUCUGGAGGAAUACCGGUGGCGAAAGGCGGGCCCCCUGGGACAAAGACUGACGCUCAGGUGCGAAAGCGUGGGGAGCGAAACAGGAUUAGAUAACC